UACGGAGGGUGCGAGCGUUGUCCGGAAUCACUGGGCGUAAAGGGCGCGUAGGCGGCCAACUAAGUCAGACGUGAAAUCCCUCGGCUUAACCGGGGAACUGCGUCUGAUACUGGAUGGCUUUGAGUUCGGGAGAGGGAUGUGGAAUUCCAGGUGUAGCGGUGAAAAUGCGUAGAUAUCUGGAGGAACACCGGUGGCGAAGGCGGCAUCCUGGAC
rnacentral:rRNA from 1 species